rnacentral:rRNA from 1 species
GAUGAACGCUGACAGACUGUUUAACACAUGCAAGUCUACUUGAUCCUUCGGGUGAUGGUGGCGGACGGGUGAGUAACGCGUAAAGAACUUGCCCUGCAGUCUGGGACAACAUUUGGAAACGAAUGCUAAUACCGGAUAUUAUGUAUUUCUCGCAUGAGUUUUACAUGAAAGCUAUAUGCGCUGCAGGAGAGCUUUGCGUCCUAUUAGCUAGUUGGUGAGGUAACGGCUCACCAAGGCCAUGAUAGGUAGCCGGCCUGAGAGGGUGAACGGCCACAAGGGGACUGAGACACGGCCCUUACUCCUACGGGAGGCAGCAGUGGGGAAUAUUGGACAAUGGACCAAAAGUCUGAUCCAGCAAUUCUGUGUGCACGAUGAAGUUUUUCGGAAUGUAAAGUGCUUUCAGUUGGGACGAAGUAAGUGACGGUACCAACAGAAGAAGCGACGGCUAAAUACGUGCCAGCAGCCGCGGUAAUACGUAUGUCGCAAGCGUUAUCCGGAUUUAUUGGGCGUAAAGCGCGUCUAGGCGGUUUGGUAAGUCUGAUGUGAAAAUGCGGGGCUCAACUCCGUAUUGCGUUGGAAACUGCUAAACUAGAGUACUGGAGAGGUGGGCGGAACUACAAGUGUAGAGGUGAAAUUCGUAGAUAUUUGUAGGAAUGCCGAUGGGGAAGCCAGCCCACUGGACAGAUACUGACGCUAAAGCGCGAAAGCGUGGGUAGCAAACAGG